rnacentral:rRNA from 1 species
UACGUAGGGUGCGAGCGUUGUCCGGAAUUACUGGGCGUAAAGAGCUCGUAGGUGGUUUGUCACGUCGUCUGUGAAAUUCCGGGGCUUAACCUCGGGCGUGCAGGCGAUACGGGCAAUACUUGAGUGCUGUAGGGGAGACUGGAAUUCCUGGUGUAGCGGUGAAAUGCGCAGAUAUCAGGAGGAACACCGAUGGCGAAGGCAGGUCUCUGGGCCACUACUGUCGCUGAGAAGCGAAAGCAUGGGGAGCGAACAGGAUUAGA